AUUGGUGGCUAUAGAGAAGGGGGUAUACCUGACCCCAUUCCGAACUCAGAAGUCAAGCCCUUCUUCGCCGAUGGUACUGCGCACAAGAGUGUGGGAGAGUAGGUUGCUGCCAAUU
rnacentral:rRNA from 1 species